rnacentral:miRNA from 1 species
CUUGACCAAAGAAUAGACCUCCU